rnacentral:lncRNA from 1 species
CUACCGUUCACCCCCAGCCCUGAGCCCGAACUUGUCUCAGCUCUACCCCUUUCCCAACUGCUCAGAAAUGGAUCAUGCUGCCCCUUAGUGUUGUGGUGACCUCUUAGUGUUCACCUGCCCCCAAGGGAGACGGAAAAGGAAAUUAUGUUUGUGCCACUGAUUUAGCCACAUGAAAGUCAUCUCAUUGCUCUUUCCUGAAGCUGCUGUCUCUAAAGUGCCAUCUCUUUGUGCUUUGUAUCAGUCAGUGCUGGAGAAAUCUUGAAUAGCUUAUGUUUAAAAAAAAAAAAAGAACUUUUUAAAUUUUAUAUUAUUUUGAAAUUGUUUUUGGGGGGUUAGGUUACCUUGGCCAACCCACUGGCUGUGAGAAUUCUUUGCAGUCUAUGGGCUAGUGGUGUGCUGAUCUUUCAAGUGUCCCCACCCAAUUGCCAUGUUCAGGUGGUUUCUUCUCAGCCUGUUAGGUGGGCGCCCUGCAGAUUCCUGGCUUGUUUGUACUCCUCCAACCGGAGAAAGAGAACCCUGUAGUGCAACUGUUUUGAUACUGAAUAGUGACAAGUGACAUUUUGAAUAAAGAACCAGUCCCUCCAAAAAAAAAAAAAAAAAAAAAAAAAAAAAAAAA